rnacentral:ncRNA from 1 species
AAUCGAUAAUGGCAAACUCACUGAAAGGUGAGGACGCAAAGCCACGGGUCUAAGGUGUUGCUACUGCACACUAUGACAGCCGGGUUGCCGAA